rnacentral:lncRNA from 1 species
AAAGGAUUUUGGUUACGAAUUCAAAAUAAUUCAGUAAAAUCUGAAGUCUAAAACAAAAACAACAAAAAUAUCUUGUUGGCAAAAAGCCUGUGUUUUUGAAAAAGAAAAUCUCCUAAAAGUGAUGCCCCCUCCUCUCCAACUUUUUAUAACAGAUUUUCUACCCUAGACUUGGAGCAACUUAGAAUCAUGAAUUGUGAAAAUGGAUUAUGCAUAAAGGUGCCAGCCUCCGAGAGCUGCACUGUAGUUGGCAGUCGCACAACUGCUAUGCCCUUACAGUUGGUGUUAUUUGCUUAAAAAAAAGUAUAUGUCAAAUAGAAGGCUGGCAAAAAUAAUAAAUAAAAAAGAUAAAAAUUGGAAUGGAUUGUUUUGAAGAACCUCUCUAUCUCACCACUUUAAUUCAUUCAACUCUCUAAUCAUCCAUACAUCAGUUGACUAAGAAAAUAUUUUGAGAACCCACUAUGGACAAAGAAUGUAUCACUAAUAAGGCAAAAAGUAAAUAUUCUCCCAUUAUACAAAUUCAUUUUUACUGAGAUAUAUUUCACAUACUAUAAAAUUUGCUUUUAAGUGUACAAUUCAGUGGUUUUUAGUAUUUUUACAAAGUUAUGCAAUUAUUUAAUUCCACUACCAUUACCUGAUUCCAGAACAUUUUCAUUACCUCAACAGAAACCAUGUGUCCAUUUGUAGUCAUUCACCAUGAUUUCCUCUUCCUAGACACUGGCAACCACAAAUUUACUUUCUGUCUCUAUUGACUUGCCUACUUAGACUUUUUGUGUAAAUGGAUUAAUGUACCAUAUGGCUAUGUCUUUUACGGUUACUUUCAUUGAGUACAUUGUUUUUAAGGUUUAUCCAUGUUGUGGCAUGAAUCAAUGCUUUAUUCUUUUUUAACGCUGAAUGAUAGUUCUCUGCAUGAAUACACACGUUUUCUUUAUGUAUUAAUGAGAUGGUGGGCCUUGGCUUGUUUCCAUUUUGGGGCUAUUAGGAAUAAUGCUGCUAUGAACAUUACUGUACAGGUUUUUGGACAUUUAAAAAGAUUUUAUUGGGCAUAUGCCUAGGAGCGGAAUUGAUGGGUCUUAUAGUAACCCUACAUUUAACCUUUUGAGGAACUACCUAACUGUUUUACCAGGUGGCUGUAAUAUGUUACAUUCCCAGCAGAAAUGUAUCAGGGUUCCAUUUCUCUACCUCCUUGCCAGUAUUUUUUUUACUUGUCUUUAGGAUUAAAGCCCUCAUAGUAUGUGCAAAGUGGUAUUUCAAUGUGAGUUAAUUUUCUUAGCAUUUUCAAAGUAGGUGAUAUUUUGGUAGAUAUGAAAAUAGAAGCAUAGAGACAGAGUAAUGCAAAUAAAUAAUAGAAAGUAGGGGGGUGUGUGUGUG